rnacentral:rRNA from 1 species
AUUGAACGCUGGCGGCAUGCCUUACACAUGCAAGUCGAACGGUAACGGGCCUUCGGGUGCCGACGAGUGGCGAACGGGUGAGUAAUGCAUCGGAACGUACCUUUCAGUGGGGGAUAACGUAGCGAAAGUUACGCUAAUACCGCAUAUUCUGUGAGCAGGAAAGCAGGGGAUCGCAAGACCUUGUGCUGAUUGAGCGGCCGAUGUCAGAUUAGCUAGUUGGUGAGGUAAAGGCUCACCAAGGCGACGAUCUGUAGCGGGUCUGAGAGGAUGAUCCGCCACACUGGAACUGAGACACGGUCCAGACUCCUACGGGAGGCAGCAGUGGGGAAUUUUGGACAAUGGGGGCAACCCUGAUCCAGCCAUGCCGCGUGAGUGAAGAAGGCCUCGGUGU